rnacentral:misc_RNA from 1 species
AAAGUCGUAACAAGGUUUCCGUAGGUGAACCUGCGGAAGGAUCAUUAAACUUUUAUAUCACGGGGGGCCGGACCUCCACAAAGACUAGGGCCCAGGCAGCGCUGCUGCUCCCAAUCUUUGUGCCCGCCCCUGUCUGGCAUAUACCCAUGUCCUUUGCGUACAACUUGUUUUCCUUGGGGGGCUUGCCCCCCAUUAGGACCAAUAUACCAACCCUUUUGUAAUUGCAGUCUGCGUCAGAAAAUCAUAUAAUAAUUACAACUUUCAACAACGGAUCUCUUGGUUCUG